GGACUGGUGCAUCACUGAGUUGUUGGUAAAGUAGCUCUUGCCAGGGAUCAUUGUUGGGUUUCCUGUGAGGAUAUUCUUACCCCUAAAUAUGACACUGAUUUAAUCACAGAGUGUCCUGAUGAGUGGCUUCUUCAAAUUGCAUGUGGCAUCAAGGUAUUGUGCCUUACCUUUAUAUAUUUUGUUUGUACUACAAAUAAGAUUUUGAUUUUGAUUCCUACUUUCUGGUAUAACAUAAAACUUUCUGCUUGUGGCAUAAUCAGUGUGUUAAUGACUAGAAAAAUCAGCUUAUAUUAGGCUUGCCUCAAAAUGAUAUUUAUGCACUAAAUGGGGCAAUUCAAGCAAAUCUUGAGUUGAUAAUUUUAA